GAUGAACGCUGGCGGCGUGCCUAAUACAUGCAAGUCGAGCGAACAGACGAGGAGCUUGCUCCUCUGACGUUAGCGGCGGACGGGUGAGUAACACGUGGAUAACCUACCUAUAAGACUGGGAUAACUUCGGGAAACCGGAGCUAAUACCGGAUAAUAUAUUGAACCGCAUGGUUCAAUAGUGAAAGACGGUUUUGCUGUCACUUAUAGAUGGAUCCGCGCCGCAUUAGCUAGUUGGUAAGGUAACGGCUUACCAAGGCAACGAUGCGUAGCCGACCUGAGAGGGUGAUCGGCCACACUGGAACUGAGACACGGUCCAGACUCCUACGGGAGGCAGCAGUAGGGAAUCUUCCGCAAUGGGCGAAAGCUGACGGAGCAACGCCGCGUGAGUGAUGAAGGUCUUCGGAUCGUAAAACUCUGUUAUUAGGGAAGAACAAAUGUGUAAGUAACUAUGCACGUCUUGACGGUACCUAAUCAGAAAGCCACGGCUAACUACGUG
rnacentral:rRNA from 1 species